rnacentral:tRNA from 1 species
ACCUGGCUGGCUCAUUUGGUGGAGCGUGCGACUCUUGAUCUCAGGUUGUGAGUUUGAGCCUUACGUUGGGUG